AUACAGAGGGUGCGAGCGUUAAUCGGAAUUACUGGGCGUAAAGCGCGCGUAGGCGGUUUGGUCAGUCGGAUGUGAAAGCCCCAGGCUCAACCUGGGAAUGGCAUUCGAUACUGCCUGACUAGAGUAUGGUAGAGGGAAGUGGAAUUUCCGGUGUAGCGGUGAAAUGCGUAGAUAUCGGAAGGAACACCAGUGGCGAAGGCGACUUCCUGGGCCAAUACUGACGCUGAGGUGCGAAAGCGUGGGGAGCAAACAGGAGUAGAAACCCGGGUAGUCC
rnacentral:rRNA from 1 species